rnacentral:rRNA from 1 species
CUUGAAUUCGUAGUCAUAUGCUUGUCUCAAAGAUUAAGCCAUGCAUGUCUAAGUAUAAGCAAUCUAUACGGUGAAACUGCGAAUGGCUCAUUAAAUCAGUUAUCGUUUAUUUGAUAGUACCCUACUACUUGGAUAACCGUGGUAAUUCUAGAGCUAAUACAUGCUAAAAACCCCGACUUUCGAAGGGGUGUAUUUAUUAGAUAAAAAGCCAAUGCCCUUCGGGGCUCCUUGGUGAUUCAUAAUAACUUAACGAAUCGCAUGGCCUUGCGCCGGCGAUGGUUCAUUCAAAUUUCUGCCCUAUCAACUUUCGAUGGUAGGAUAGUGGCCUACCAUGGUUUCAACGGGUAACGGGGAAUUAGGGUUCUAUUCCGGAGAGGGAGCCUGAGAAACGGCUACCACAUCCAAGGAAGGCAGCAGGCGCGCAAAUUACCCAAUCCCGACACGGGGAGGUAGUGACAAUAAAUACUGAUACAGGGCUCUUUAGGGUCUUGUAAUUGGAAUGAGUACAAUUUAAAUCCCUUAACGAGGAACAAUUGGAGGGCAAGUCUGGUGCCAGCAGCCGCGGUAAUUCCAGCUCCAAUAGCGUAUAUUAAAGUUGUUGCAGUUAAAAAGCUCGUAGUUGAACCUUGGGCCUGGCUGGCCGGUCCGCCUCACCGCGUGCACUGGUCCGGCCGGGCCUUUCCUUCUGGCUAGCCACAUGCCCUUAAUUGGGUGUGUUGGGGAACCAGGACUUUUACUUUGAAAAAAUUAGAGUGUUCAAAGCAGGCCUAUGCUCGAAUACAUUAGCAUGGAAUAAUAGAAUAGGACGUGUGGUUCUAUUUUGUUGGUUUCUAGGACCGCCGUAAUGAUUAAUAGGGAUAGUCGGGGGCAUCAGUAUUCAAUUGUCAGAGGUGAAAUUCUUGGAUUUAUUGAAGACUAACUACUGCGAAAGCAUUUGCCAAGGAUGUUUUCAUUAAUCAGUGAACGAAAGUUAGGGGAUCGAAGACGAUCAGAUACCGUCGUAGUCUUAACCAUAAACUAUGCCGACUAGGGAUCGGGCGAUGUUAAUUUUAUGACUCGCUCGGCACCUUACGAGAAAUCAAAGUCUUUGGGUUCU